rnacentral:rRNA from 1 species
UACGUAGGGUGCGAGCGUUGUCCGGAAUCAUUGGGCGUAAAGAGCGUGUAGGCGGCCCCUUAAGUCCUGCGUGAAAUCCUGCGGCUCAACCGCAGACGGUCGUGGGAAACUGGAGGGCUAGAGUGCGGGAGAGGAGAGUGGAAUUCCCGGUGUAGCGGUGAAAUGCGCAGAUAUCGGGAAGAACACCCGUGGCGAAGGCGGCUCUCUGGAACGCAACUGACGCUGAGACGCGAAAGCGUGGGGAGCAAACAGG